rnacentral:rRNA from 1 species
AUGGUCACGAACGCGAGCUGCCCCGCUCCCGCCGGGGUGCUUGGAGAUCAGCGCCGGUGUCCUAGCCAGAGCUUUGCUUGGGUGUAUAUACGUGCAAGAGCCGAAGGGUAUUUCCCCUCAACUGCACGGAAGACGGAACAUCCCGAUACUUUGUGUGCCCGAGUUCUGAAGGGCAAGUACUACCCACACACUGAUUUCUUACAAGCUACAGCGCCUGCUCGUGCUUCGUCGACGUGGAAGGCGAUCGUGGCUGGCAGGAAAGCCUUGGAUAUUGGUCUGAUUCAUAGAGUUGGCGACGGCUCGUCAAUUUCCACAUGGAAUGAUCAAUGGAUUCCAAAUACAGCGACCCUGAAACCUGCUGGCCGGUUGGGUACUGCAGCUCUACCACGGGUUUCUGACUUGAUCGAUGAAUACACAGGUAAUUGA